rnacentral:ncRNA from 2 species
AUUUGACACUAGGGGUGUUCGUAGAGGAACUGAGACACGUUUGAACAACGUGAUCCCUUUGAACCUGUAAGUUCGAACUUGCGUAGGAAAGUGAAUUAAUUAGGUG